ACCACGCUCACCUGCCAAGAGAGUGAGCGCCAGACCCCGCGUUCCCGGGGGUCCCCACCCCAACCCCAUCGCCCGACACUGGGGCCUGACGCUGGCUCAGCGGGCGUCCGCCAAGUCAGCGGCUCCUACACGGGAAACCUCCCGGACCGCUGCUAGCCUCCUGGACGCGGCUUUUGUCAAAUGGCUGCGGCCACUUUGUCACAACUGCACAUACAUUUUUGAGGAACUCUCCUUGGCUCUUCUAGGAACACAAAUACACGCCAUGUGGGAUCCACUGGCAUUUCUGCCACAUUUUCCAGUUACCGUCUCUGUUCUAUUUAUACCUCCCUGGCCUCGGGUGGGAGGUGGAAAUAACUGGAACCAUUAUGAAUAGCAAAGGGAAGACGGAGAGGUAACCUAAUAUUCUCCCUGUCCAUGGAAGAUUAAUUAUCUGGAGAGUCAUGCCUGGCUCUUGUUUCCCUGUGCUUAGAGCAAAAGACAGAGGAGUUUUAGCUGGUGCACAGAUGUGUGAGCCAAAAUAAGGAAUGAUUUCUGAUGUAUCUUGUAAAAAACGAUCCACCUGUCUGUAAACACACAAACACACCUGUACACAAACCCGUUUAGUGGACAUACAGUAGAAAGAGGCGUGGGAAAAGAUCACCUGAGCAGUCUCGGAUUUCGAUAAAUCUUCGUAUGCUGACGAAUAUGCACAGGCUAAACUGAUGACCACCUUCUCGCCUACACACUCCGCUUUUGAAACCCCAAAGGAUGGCAACAAUUUUCACAGAAGUGGCCCGAGAAGCGGUUCCUGUGCUAUUUCUGCCUUUUAAAUCUUUGCAGGUCAACUGGGCCAACCUUUCAGGACAACGGUCCUAUGGCAAAUGCUAAGAAUUCUUCAGCUGUCCAUAACCGUCUACUUGAGCGUCAGCUCCUUCUUGGACUGCUCCAGCCUCUGGGACCGGUCCACCACGAAGUAGAUGAGGUAGAUGCUCCCGGCCAGCGACAGCAGCACCAGGAUGUUGGCGACGACCCUCAGGCAGACGGUCACGGCCCUGGGGGAGAGGCAGCCCUCACCUCCUAAGAGAUCGACAGUGCGUCGCAAAUGCAACCGGCAUCAGCGAGGCUUUAAACAGACAAACAGCCACAGUGGGUUUAGCGCCCAGGUACCUGGGUUUCAGUUCUUUGCCACCUGUAACUGGAGUCCUGGAGACGGUGCAUUUAGGAUGCAGGAGUUCCAGUAACCGUCCAGCAGAGAGAGAGAGGGGGAGGGAGGGAGCAGAGAGGAUUGGGAGGGCGGACGAAAGAUUCUGCCCGUCACUCCAUAUAACGAGCCUGACCUCAUAGCAUGCAGAGUCACGAGCCACCUGACGAUGUUUUGGUCCACAACAGACCGCACAGGUGAUGGUGGUCCCAGAAGGUCACGAUGGAGCUGGAAGAUCUCUACUGCCUGGUGACAUUGCAACGCAACAAAUCACCUGUGCACUGCCGGCGACGCAGGUGUGAGCAAACCUACGUGUGCCAGUCGUGGGAGGUGACAGCACACACGAUUACAUGCAGUGCGUAAUACUCGGUAAUGAGGGGCUGUGCCACCGGGUUUUGUAUUUGCUAUACUUCUGAUCAUUAUGUUCGGGUGUACUCCUUGUAGCUACUUAAAAAAAUGUUAGCUGUAAAAGAGCCUCAGGCAGGACCGUCCCGUCGGGAGGCCUUGCAGAAGAAGGUAUUGUCAUCACAGAAGGUGGCACACACGACAGCUCCCGGUGUGUUACUGUCCCCGAGGUCCUUCCAGGGGGACAAGACGUGGAGGUGGAAGACAGUCAUAUUGACUGUCCGGACCCUGUGUGGGCCUAGACUAACGUGUGUGCUUGUGUCUUAGUUUUGAACAAAAAUUUUG